UUGACCUCAAAUCAGGUAGGAUUACCCGCUGAACUUAAGCAUAUCAA
rnacentral:rRNA from 5 species